rnacentral:tRNA from 1 species
UCAUUAAGAAGCUAUGAAGCAGCGCCAGCCUUUUAAGCUGGAGAAAGAGGGCUACACACCCUCCUUAAUGAC